rnacentral:rRNA from 1 species
UACAGAGGUCUCAAGCGUUGUUUCGGAUUCAUUGGGCGUAAAGGGCGCGUAGGCGGCGGGGUAAGUCGGGUGUGAAAUCUCAGAGCUCAACUCUGAAAACUGCACUCGAUACUGCUCUGCUUGAGGACUGGAGAGGAGACUGGAAUUCACGGUGUAGCAGUGAAAUGCGUAGAUAUCGUGAGGAAGACCAGUGGCGAAGGCGGGUCUCUGGACAAGUUCCUGGACGCUGAGGCGCGAAGGCCCAGGGG